rnacentral:rRNA from 1 species
GAUGAACGCUGACAGAAUGCUUAACACAUGCAAGUCAACUUGAACUUCGGUUUGGGUGGCGGACGGGUGAGUAACGCGUAAAGAACUUGCCUCACAGAUAGGGACAACAUUUGGAAACGAAUGCUAAUACCUGAUAUUAUGAUUAUAUGGCAUCGUAUAAUUAUGAAAGCUAUAUGCGCUGUGAGAGAGCUUUGCGUCCCAUUAGCUAGUUGGAGAGGUAACGGCUCACCAAGGCGAUGAUGGGUAGCCGGCCUGAGAGGGUGAUCGGCCACAAGGGGACUGAGACACGGCCCUUACUCCUACGGGAGGCAGCAGUGGGGAAUAUUGGGCAAUGGACCAAGAGUCUGAUCCAGCAAUUCUGUGUGCACGAUGAAGUUUUUCGGAAUGUAAAGUGCUUUCAGUUGGGAAGAAAAAAAUGACGGUACCAACAGAAGAAGUGACGGCUAAAUACGUG